rnacentral:rRNA from 1 species
UAUAUUCUGUAGCAAGGUUAACCGUAUAGGGGAGCCGUAGGGAAACCGAGUCUUAACCGGGCGUUAAGUUGCAGGGUAUAGACCCGAAACCCGGUGAUCUAGCCAUGGGCAGGUUGAAGGUUGGGUAACACUAACUGGAGGACCGAACCGACUAAUGUUGAAAAAUUAGCGGAUGACCUGUGGCUGGGGGUGAAAGGCCAAUCAAACCGGGAGAUAGCUGGUUCUCCCCGAAAGCUAUUUAGGUAGCGCCUCGUGAAUUCAUCUCCGGGGGUAGAGCACUGUUUCGGCUAGGGGGCCAUCCCGGCUUACCAACCCGAUGCAAACUGCGAAUACCGGAGAAUGUUAUCACGGGAGACACACGGCGGGUGCUAACGUCCGUCGUGAAGAGGGAAACAACCCAGACCGC